rnacentral:lncRNA from 1 species
CGGGUUUGGUUAGGUGUGGCGGAGCUUGGUGCGUGUGGUUUGGGAUCCGUGCUUGCAACACAGUCCCUUGGACGUAGAGGGUCACAUGCACACACAUGCGCACACACAAGUACACACAUACACGCACACACACACACACACACACACACACACACACACACACACACACGCGCACACAUAUGUUUUCCUUGUGCUCUUUAACACAGUAAACGAUCCCUCCCCUCCCCCUCCCCGCCCAAAACCCGCCUCACCCGCCGCCGCCCGGUCCAACGUCAGCAGCCGCACAGUCCUGCCGUACUUCCAGUCCACACUCUCCAGCUCCAGCAUGUGACAGGCGGAGCCCCGACUGCUACUGCCGCUUCUGCUGCCGCUGCUACUGCCGCUGCUGCCAUCGCAGGAGGGGGCGGCGUGCAGGCGGUGCAGGCGGCGGCCGAAUGCGCCGUGGAGGUGGCCUGAUGGUGGGAGAUGGGUGCGUGUGCACACAGUGUCAUGUGGGGCGCAGACGAAACGGUAAUACUGUGCACAUGUUAUCCCGUCUCCUAGCACUGGCACAGGAGGGCAUGCACAAGCCGCGUGAGGCAGAUGCCCAAAUUGGCAAUGCCAUGUGAGCAGCACUGCACCAGAAGUGCAUUGCACGGCGUAUACGUCACGUGCCCAUCUGCAACCCUCCACCCUCGCCCCUGACUCUUAUAAUCCCCACGCACACGCACACGCGCACGCACACGCACACGCGCACGCACACGCACACGCACACGCACACACGCGCACACGCGCGCACACACACACACACACACACACACGCACACACACACGCUCACACACGCACACACACACACACACACACACACACACGCACACGCUCACACACGCACACACACACACACACAUAUACACACACACGCACACGCUCACACACGCACAAACGCACACACGCACACACGCACACACGCACACACGCACACGCACACGCACACGCACACGCACACACGCGCCUGACAGGUAGGCGCUGACUCCGUGCUUCAGCAGUACCUCCUGCACGUUGCCGCAGCAGCCGCCACCCCACCCGACCUUUGGACUGCCGCCCCCCUCCUGCUGCCGCCGGCGCCGGGAAGGCCAAAGGCUCAAUGGGUAGCCGACGGUCGAAAGCGGGUAGUGCCCGUACGCGAUGUACGGCGGCGAGCAGGGGGAGCCGCCGGCGCCGCCGUUAGCGGUUUGACCAACCGUAACUGCCGACAGUUGGGUGGUAGUUGCGGUUAACCGCACGUCCAGCUCGUCCAGGACCUCGGGAUGGAUGACGCCUGCGGUUGGCGGCGCGUGGUUCGCGGAGUGGGGAUUGGGGUUGGUUGUGUUGGGGUUUGGGUCUCGUGAGCAGGGGUCACGGGGGAACAAGCACCCACCAUCCAGGCCUGCAUGCAAACACGGUUGUCUGCUCUCACCUAAGAAGUUGGUGGGGCCUCUCAGUCCAGGGUCCAGAGACGCAUCCACACCCACGAGCACAGCCGCAGGGCAGCCGCCGCCGCCGCUAACGCCGCCGCCGCUAACGCCGCCGCUAACGCUGGCACCUCCGCCGCUGGUGCUGGCACUGCUGGUGUCGUCACCGCUGGCAGAUGCAUCCACGUCAUCACCGGCCGCACGACGCGCCGGCGCAGGGUCUGCAGCCAUAGAACCUGAUCACCAUCAGAACCAACGCAGGCGGAGGACACAGACAAUGAGACAACAACAAAACACCGCGCAUCUGCGUGGCAAUCGCACCUUCCCGACUCCGAGACGACGAGUGCCCCCCGCCCUAUCUGCCCCUCCUGCCCCUCCAACUUGUACCCACCAACUAUUCACCAACUAACUACCCACCAACUACCCGCCUACUACCCACCAACUGCCCGCCAAGUACCCACCAAACACAAAGUCAAUGAACACGCGCCCCGCCGGCCCCACCGCCGCGGCGCCGCUGGCGUUGCCUGCUUUAGCAGCUGCUGCGGCGCGCGCGCUGUAGCGGCAGAAGUAGUCGCGGGGCCCACACCUGCAAACGCCGGGGACGGCAGCGGUGAUGAAAGCACGCAUGGGGUGCACGUGUCGGCAUUUUGCUUCUCAGAGCUCAUGCAAUCGUGGAAGAAACCAUUCCGGCGCAGAGCCCAAGGCGCUUGGACUGUGUGUUAGCAGUACCCAGUACUGGAUCCAAAUCCCGUCCUCCUUCCCUCUCGCCCACCAAGUAGCAACCCCCUAGGUUCGCAUCCUAACCUCCCCCUCACCUGCUGCCUGAAUUGAAUGUGUCAUGGUUGCCACGCGUGUCAAACACACUGCCCGCUGGCAGCCCCCCGCGGGCGAUGAGCGCGCGCCACAGGCCCCGCCACUCCUGUCGGCGGCGGGCCGUGCAAACACCACGAUGGAGCACUUCUGAGCCUUCCCGAUGUAACCAAAGCCUGGCGAACCCGAUACCGUAAUGCCGCAAGCUGCAAAGUUCCAAACCGCCCACGCACGCGGUCUAAACCGGAUACGCCUCUGUGCGUGUGCGUGCGCUUGUGUUGAGGGGACACGACACGCGCGUACGUGUUCGUGUGUGUUUGCCCAUCCGCGCAUCCACACACCCAUCCACCGGCCCUCGCGCCCUCGCGCCUCCUCGCCCCUCACCUCCCACUCCGCGGGGUACUGCCGCCCCCGCCCCCGCACGUCCUUGGCCUCGGUGAGGUCGCCCGUCACCACCGCGCCCGCCAGCGGCCACCUGCGGCCGCAGCCAGGCGGCCAGAGCCGCACACGCACAGGCAGGCACAGCCGCAGUUAGGGCCGCAUUUAGGCAGGCACAGGCACAGCCAGAGCCACACACAUGCAGCCGCAAUCGGAGCCAUAUGUGAAUGCGGCCGUGUGCCCCACAGGCCACAUCAUGCAGGUGCAUGCAUGCAUGGAGGGGGGGGGGCGCGAACCUGCGCCGCCUCCGUCUACUCCCCGUUCCCUUUCAGCCCCCACACGACCCCACCCUCUUGCCCAGCCACCAUACCCCGCCAACAACCUUCACGGUCACCUUCUAUCACCCAAGUGGAUAUCAGAUGCUCCCCGACUCCACACGCUCCGCCCAUGCCUGCCGUUGGCACGAACCCACCAAGCUAGCGGCACCGACCCCCCUCUCCUCCCUUCCCCUCCCGUCCACUCCGCGCCCCACCCCCACCUGGCCAGAAGCUGCUCCGCCAGCACUAUCAGAUCGGGGCCGCGGGUGGGGUCGCCACCGCCGGCAGGGGGCGGCGGCAUGACACUCAGAUGCACGUCGGUCAGAUGCAGCAGCAGCGACACAGGCGGCGGCGCCGGGGCCGGUUUGGACCCUUCGGAGUUGGAGGAGGUGGCUGUGUCGGCACCCGAGGUGCCAAUGGAGAAGGCUAGCGGUGCAAGGAGGAGGAGCAGGAGCAGCGCCGAAAGCAGGGGUGGGAGCGGGGGCAGUACUGCAGCGCCGCGCGUGGCUGGUGCGGGCUGGCGCCGGCCUGGGGGGGGGGGGGGGGGUGUUGCGUCGGGGUCGUGGGGCUGAGCGUAAACCCUCGCAAAGGUUCCAGCUUCCGCUGCUUAUGGGCAAAGUCACAGGUGCCCAGUACAAUUUAGCCACUGCUGGCUAAAGCGCUGGCUUCUGGAAGCGCCGAGCGCACAUGCAAUUUGCGACUUGCUGCCGUUUGCGCGAGCACCCUGGAACUGCUACAGUCGCUCUUCUAUACUUUCAUAGGCAUGUUAAAUCACCACGCGCACAGCGCCGAGCCCGUCCAAAUCAACCGCACAGAGCAACAGGCCAUUCGCACAGAAGCUUACCGCCUGCUAGUCCCGCGCCCAUUUCAAUCACCUAUCGGGGCAUAGAAAUAUUACAAUACUUGCUCAGCGCGAACAAAAACUGUGUUGUAUGACAGUGCUGCGAGUUCAGAAGUCUAAACCAGCGCGCAUUGGUGUGCUCGGGUAAUGCGGUUUGUGUUUUUGGUGAUACAAUAAGUUGCUUUUGACAGCAAAGUGGGGAAGCGCGUGGAGGAGAAACGCCCAUGGGCGAUCCCCCGCCUGAUUCGGCACGGUCUGCGCAGUGGGGCGAGGCCCAAGCCGCAUCGCGCACUCAUCGUGUCGUGCAGAUGAUGCGUAACACGCAGUGCCACUGCAGAGCUCACACUGCACAACACUACUGCCGCACAUCGGUCAACUGCAGGCCGGAAUCCAACUGGCACAGGCGCGGACCCUCCCCUGCUUGUCGGGCAAAAGUUAUUCUCAUCUCUCGAACGUUACAAGCGUGCUCAAUUACCGUAUAGGCGUGCACCUCGCCGCGUGUCGCCUUGUGUCCCUCUCAUCGGCAGCAGCAGCAUAUCGUAUGUGCCGGCUGUCCCCAGCGUACUCAGCCUGGGGCCAGACCCUGCACCCAUUGCACCCACCCCUGCACCGACACGGCCACACCCAGGCCGCCAACAACCCAGCAACCUACAGCACGGCGCGCAGCGCAGCGCAAGUUAUGUGUCGUUCAUCUACACGUAGCCAUUGCACGAUACCGGUACCGGUACGCAACUUGCAUUGGCUAACAGCUACGUGUCACUACCCGCCGCUGCGCCUGUCCCCCACAAAUAAUACGCGUCCCUCGCCGUGCGCGGCAGUCAUGACACACACGGCAUCGGGGAGGCAGGGCAAGGAAACGCCAGGGCGGCCACCAACAUACCGUACCAUUACCAGCCUCCAAGUCGCGAGCACGGCACACCACACACAGGUUUUGGUCUUCUCAGCACCAGACCGCCCGGGGCUCCCAGCUUCAUGACUUCACGACUUCACAAGCACGGGUAUACAGCCUCUUUGUCGGUUCGCCCCCAUCACGCCAAUCCUCAACUUGAACUUGUGCUCAGCAAGCCUCAAGCGUCAAGACCAACCGCCAUUGUCAGAAUCACAUCACACAAUACAAUCGCCAGACAAUACGGCGCACGCAGGAGGGUAAUUUACACAUUGCCGCCGGGGGCUGUGGCGCGUUGGGUUGACAACGCUGGGGAGCGUGCGUGCGUGGGAGCGAGCGGCAGCCCUGGCGUUACGGUGCCGCACGCGGCUCGUGUCGAAUGACGCACACGAGUGUGACGGCGACCGCAACAGCAGGGGCAGCCCCAUGCUGCUACCAGACACACACUCCCUGCCCCGGACGACAACCGUACACAAUCAAUGGGCUGCUGCAAUAACGAUCGCGCAGCAUUGGUAGGACGUAAUCAACACAAAUGCGCUUGUGCAGACGGCCUGGAGGGAUCAUUUAUGGUACACACCAGCUUCAAGGUGCAUCUGCAUCCGCACCAGCAACCACAACUGUUCCCAGCAACAAUGGGAGCCUUCAUUGUCACAUGCACCGCCGUGCGAUUGCGCGUUGCAAUAGUUACACAAGGCGCAUGCAGACCCGCGCGACACGCACACAGCAACACAAAUACACACACACACACACACACACACACACACACACACACGCUCACACACACACACACACACACACACACACACACACACAAAUUGCACGGAAGGAGUUUAACGUCAACUUUGUAGGCUGCAAAAUGAAAUACAAGGCAGCGCUUCGACGCGCAAUGGUCACGCCAGCUCCUUCCUUCUUCGAUCCGCCCUCGUGUACAU